ACAAAGAGAACAGACUUUUCAAAAGUCACUUGUAACGAGAAGACAGACAAACCAUUCCGCUCCACAUUGUCUAAAGAGGACAUUUCAUCCACUGUAUAAGCGGAUUUCCCUCAAAUGCUCAAGUUGUGACGGGGUCACGGGAUGGGAGAAGGAAAAGUUGCUAAUCGAGCAGCAUGCUAACCAAGCCGAGUGGGAGGCUGAAUCUAAUAUGAUUGCUUUGUAUGCUAACUUAGCAGCUUAGCAUGCUCUGAAGCUAGCAACGCUUCUUCCAUUUGUCACCUGUCCAUCAACACGGUCACCCACAGCAAUGCUGGUUUCCUUGUGUUUUCCCACAGCAAAUACAAAGCACACGCUAGUGACCCCAUCAGCAAUGACGAAUAUCGUAACGGUUGUAACGCGACGACGUUAAAAGGUCAACGCAGGAAACAGUGCCUACGUUGUGGUGGUGAGAUGGUGCCAACCAUGACGUUGUCGUCCAUUGGAAAAAAGGGAAGCCACGACGGGUUGGGUCAGGUUGAAAUCUCUUGCUGUGAACUCACUGAGGGCUGAUGCAGGACACGCUUGACUGAUGCUCCCAUACAAAGGCUUCAAUGGUUUCUUCUUCUUCUUCUUCUUCUUCUUCUGGCCUUUCCUGGUGCUGUUGGUAGGCGGGCAUAUGUCACAUGUCAACAGCAUAAAAGUAUCUUUAAAAAA